rnacentral:rRNA from 1 species
UACGAAGGGGGCUAGCGUUGCUCGGAAUCACUGGGCGUAAAGCGCACGUAGGCGGACUCUUAAGUCGGGGGUGAAAGCCCGGGGCUCAACCCCGGAAUUGCCUUCGAUACUGGGAGUCUUGAGUAUGGCAGAGGUUGGUGGAACUGCGAGUGUAGAGGUGAAAUUCGUAGAUAUUCGCAAGAACACCAGUGGCGAAGGCGGCCAACUGGGCCAUUACUGACGCUGAGGUGCGAAAGCGUGGGGAGCAAACAGG